rnacentral:rRNA from 1 species
GACGAACGCUGGCGGCGUGCUUAACACAUGCGAGUCGAACGGAAAGGCCCUGCUUUUGUGGGGUGCUCGAGUGGCGAACGGGUGAGUAACACGUGAGUAACCUGCCCUUGACUUUGGGAUAACUUCAGGAAGCUGGGGCUAAUACCGGAUAGGAGCUCCUGCUGCAUGGUGGGGGUUGGAAAGUUUCGGCGGUUGGGGAUGGACUCGCGGCUUAUCAGCUUGUUGGUGGGGUAGUGGCUUACCAAGGCUUUGACGGGUAGCCGGCCUGAGAGGGUGACCGGCCACAUUGGGACUGAGAUACGGCCCAGACUCCUACGGGAGGCAGCAGUGGGGAAUAUUGCACAAUGGGCGGAAGCCUGAUGCAGCAACGCCGCGUGCGGGAUGACAGCCUUCGGGUUGUAAACCGCUUUCGCCUGUGACGAAGCGUGAGUGACGGUAAUGGGUAAAGAAGCACCGGCUAACUACGUG